rnacentral:rRNA from 1 species
AACCCGGUGACAGGUGCUGCAUUGGCUGUCGUCAGCUCGUGUCGUGAGAUGUUGGAUUAAGUUCCGCAACGAGCGCAACCCUCGCUGUUAGUUGCCAGCAUUAAGUUGGGCACUCUAGCGGUAACUGCCGGCGGUCAAGCCCGGAGGAAGGUGGGGACGACGUCAAGUCAUCAUGCCCCUUACGUCCAGGGCUACACACGUGCUACAAUGGCAGGUACAACGGGUUGCCACCUAGCAAUAGGGAGCGAAUCCCUUAAAGCCUGUCUCAGUCCGGAUUGGAGGCUGCAACUCGCCUCCAUGAAGUCGGAAUCGCUAGUAACCGUGGAUCAGCAUGCCGCGGUGAAUACGUACUCGGGCCUU